UACAGAGACUGCAAGCGUUAUUCGGAUUUAUUGGGCGUAAAGAGCGUGUAGGCGGCCAUACAGGUCAGCUGUGAAAACUCGAGGCUCAACCUCGAGACGUCGGUUGAAACCGUAUGGCUAGAGUCCGGAAGAGGAGAGUGGAAUUCCCGGUGUAGCGGUGAAAUGCGCAGAUAUCGGGAAGAACACCCGUGGCGAAGGCGGCUCUCUGGGACGGUACUGACGCUGAGACGCGAAAGCGUGGGGAGCGAACAGG
rnacentral:rRNA from 1 species